ACCACCGAUCCUCUGCUCCCCGGCCCGUCCUUCCCCGGGCGCCACUGCAGAGAGAAAGCGGAGGAUGCGAGCGAGGUUCUGCAUGAACAUCCCAAUGACUGAAUGAUAACUUCAUUCUUGCUGAGGAACCACUGGGAACCAAUCUUCUGAAUGUCACUUUUACCACGAGUAAAUCCUGGCUUCAGACAUGUAGUCUGUUAAUCCUCUCAUUUAAAAACAAAGACCUAGAGGUCCUUUACAGGAGGAGAUAUGAUUUUGCAUCUCCUAAGGACACAACUGCAUGGGCAACAAGCCAAUCAACUGGAGGAACUGACUAAAGAACAUCUGUUGCUCCAGCAGUGAAACAGCUGAAGCAGGUGAAAGAAUGGAAUACCAUGAAUCCUAAUUGGGUCUCCCUUGAAAGAACAGGUGGAGUGUGGUCAUGCAGCACGUAAUAUGUUUCCUCAGGGUCAUGUAGACAAGAGGACACUUCGGACAGCACUCUUCAGCUGGAAUGAACAGUUACAAAUGAAGGAGCAGGCGGAACAUCAGCCAUAAUAUCAUCUGGGAAUCUCUUGAGUGACUGAAUAUGUAUUUUUUUCAGUCAGCAAAGUUCCUUUGAUUACAUCAGACAACAAGAGAGGGAGGGAGGGAGGAAGUGAGAACAGGUCCACACAAGUGACUAAUGCGGGAGUGUUGAUCUUGCCUGUUUGCAUUUUGGGCUGCGCGUCCCCUCAGGAGCCCUGAUGAGCCUCUGGAACUGUCUGUAAAGCAAAUGAGUGUCUUGGCUGCAUGCAGUGAAGGAAGAGAGUACCAGUCAAGUACCUCAGUCAGUGAGAAGAGCCCAUAGUCCUGAAAGUGGAACUGAUGCAGUGGGGACAACAGCAGGGUCUUAUGGGGCCCAGGAAAGGGACGCUCCAAGGACUAGAGCGCAUUCUCCAGGGAACUGUCCUGUUUCAAAACAGCCUUCAUCAGGACUUCACCUUACAUGAACUUAGUAUAAUCACCAGUUGAUUCUACGUAGAUUUCCAAGACAGAAACGGUUUAGCAAUUAUAUGGAACUAUAUAUUGUAGGGUGACAAUAGCCUUUACUUCUGUGAUUAAAGUAAUUUCAGUGAACAAUUCAAACCUGUUAGCCCACAGAGAUCAUC